CCUGGCAGCUGCUCUCCCUGUCCUCCAGGAGCUCACCUGUGUCGGCCGUGAGCUCCUCGGGGCAGAGCCCGCAUCUGCCUCUGUGCCAGC
rnacentral:pre_miRNA from 1 species